GCCUACGGGGGGCAGCAGUAGGGAAUCUUCCACAAUGGGCGAAAGCCUGAUGGAGCAACGCCGCGUGGGUGAAGAAGGUCUUCGGAUCGUAAAACCCUGUUGUUAGAGAAGAAAGUGCGUGAGAGUAACUGUUCACGUUUCGACGGUAUCUAACCAGAAAGCCACGGCUAACUACGUGCCAGCAGCCGCGGUAAUACGUAGGUGGCAAGCAUUAUCCGGAUUUAUUGGGCGUAAAGGGAACGCAGGCGGUCUUUUAAGUCUGAUGUGAAAGCCUUCGGCUUAACCGGAGUAGUGCAUUGGAAACU
rnacentral:rRNA from 1 species